AACAGUAGGAGCGGACUUGUUCCGUGACUGCGUACCUUUUGUAUAAUGGGUCAGCGACUUACAUUCAGUGGCAAGGUUAACCGAAUAGGGAAGCCGUAGAGAAAUCGAGUCCGAAUAGGGCGAUCAGUCGCUGGGUGUAGACCCGAAACCAAGUGAUCUACUCAUGGCCAGGAUGAAGGUGCGGUAACACGCCCUGGAGGUCCGAACCCACUAAUGUUGAAAAAUUAGGGGAUGAGCUGUGGGUAGGGGUGAAAGGCUAAACAAACUUGGAAAUAGCUGGUUCUCUCCGAAAACUAUUUAGGUAGUGCCUCAAGUAUCACCAUCGGGGGUAGAGCACUGUUAUGGCUAGGGGGUCAUUGCGACUUACCAAACCAUUGCAAACUCCGAAUACCGAUGAGUGCGAGCUUGGGAGACAGACGUCGGGUGCUAACGUCCGGCGUCAAGAGGGAAACAACCCAGACCGCCAGCUAAGGUCCCAAAGAUUGGCUAAGUGGAAAACGAAGUGGGAAGGCUAAAACAGUCAGGAUGUUGGCUUAGAAGCAGCCAUCAUUUAAAGAAAGCGUAAUAGCUCACUGAUCGAGUCGUCCUGCGCGGAAGAUGUAACGGGGCUAAGCCAGUCACCGAAGCUGCGGAUAUCUAGCAAUAGAUAUGGUAGGAGAGCGUUCUGUAAGCCUGCGAAGGUGUCUUGUAAAGGAUGCUGGAGGUAUCAGAAGUGCGAAUGCUGACAUGAGUAGCGAUAAUGGGGGUGAAAAGCCUCCACGCCGUAAGCCCAAGGUUUCCUGUUCAACGUUCAUCGGAGCAGGGUGAGUCGGCCCCUAAGGCGAGGCAGAGAUGCGUAGCUGAUGGGAAGCAGGUUAAUAUUCCUGCACCGUCGUAUGAUGCGAUGGGGGGACGGAUCGCGGAAGGUUGUCCAACUGUUGGAAUAGUUGGUUUUUGGCUCAUAGAAGGCACUUAGGCAAAUCCGGGUGCGGAAUUCAAGGGGUUGAGACGAGUGCACUUGUGCACGAAGCAAUCGGAAGUGGUUCCAAGAAAAGCCUCUAAGCUUCAGUCAUACGAGACCGUACCGCAAACCGACACAGGUGGGCGAGAUGAGUAUUCUAAGGCGCUUGAGAGAACUCGGGAGAAGGAACUCGGCAAAUUGGUACCGUAACUUCGGGAAAAGGUACGCCCCGGUAGCUUGAAUGGUUUACUCCAUGAGGGUGAAAGGGUUGCAAUAAACUGGUGGCUGCGACUGUUUAAUAAAAACACAGCACUCUGCAAACACGAAAGUGGACGUAUAGGGUGUGACGCCUGCCCGGUGCUGGAAGAUUAAAUGAUGGGGUGCAAGCUCUUGAUUGAAGUCCCAGUAAACGGCGGCCGUAACUAUAACGGUCCUAAGGUAGCGAAAUUCCUUGUCGGGUAAGUUCCGACCUGCACGAAUGGCGUAACGAUGGCCACACUGUCUCCUCCCGAGACUCAGCGAAGUUGAAAUGUUUGUGAUGAUGCAAUCUACCCGCGGCUAGACGGAAAGACCCCAUGAACCUUUACUGUAGCUUUGCAUUGGACUUUGAACCAAUCUGUGUAGGAUAGGUGGGAGGCUUUGAAGCGGGGACGCUAGUUCUCGUGGAGCCAACCUUGAAAUACCACCCUGGUUUGUUUGAGGUUCUAACCUUGGUCCGUUAUCCGGAUCGGGGACAGUGCAUGGUAGGCAGUUUGACUGGGGCGGUCUCCUCCUAAAGUGUAACGGAGGAGUUCGAAGGUACGCUAGAUACGGUCGGACAUCGUGUUGAUAGUGCAAUGGCAUAAGCGUGCUUAACUGCGAGACUGACAAGUCGAGCAGGUACGAAAGUAGGACAUAGUGAUCCGGUGGUUCUGUAUGGAAGGGCCAUCGCUCAACGGAUAAAAGGUACUCUGGGGAUAACAGGCUGAUUCCUCCCAAGAGUUCAUAUCGACGGGGGAGUUUGGCACCUCGAUGUCGGCUCAUCACAUCCUGGGGCUGUAGCCGGUCCCAAGGGUAUGGCUGUUCGCCAUUUAAAGUGGUACGUGAGCUGGGUUUAAAACGUCGUGAGACAGUUUGGUCCCUAUCUGCCGUGGGCGUUGGAAAUUUGAAGGGGGCUGCUCCUAGUACGAGAGGACCGGAGUGGACGAACCUCUGGUGUACCGGUUGUCACGCCAGUGGCAUUGCCGGGUAGCUAAGUUCGGAAGAGAUAACCGCUGAAAGCAUCUAAGCGGGAAACUUGCCUUGAGAUGAGAUUUCCCAGAGCCUUGAGCUCUUUGAAGGGUCGUUCGAGACCAGGACGUUGAUAGGCUGGGUGUGGAAGUGCAGUAAUGCAUUAAGCUAACCAGUACUAAUUGCCCGUACGGCUUGUCC
rnacentral:rRNA from 1 species